rnacentral:rRNA from 1 species
UACAGAGGUCUCAAGCGUUGUUCGGAUUCAUUGGGCGUAAAGGGUGUGUAGGUGGCGCGCUAAGUCGGGUGUGAAAUUUCGGAGCUUAACUCCGAAACUGCAUUCGAUACUGGCGUGCUUGAGGACUGGAGAGGAGACUGGAAUUCAUGGUGUAGCAGUGAAAUGCGUAGAGAUCAUGAGGAAGACCGGUGGCGAAGGCGGGUCUCUGGACAGUUCCUGACACUGAGGCACGAAGGUCAGGGGAGCAAACGGG